UUCUUUGUUUCAGCGCACCUGUCUGGGAAUUCUGAACUACUUCAGAUCUGUUGAGCGAACACUGACAAUCAACACUUCAGGCCUUACCUUGGUUGGAGGCAGUCUGGUCCCGACCAUAGAAGAUAGUUCUUGGGUAAAUACAGCCGAGGGAGGUCUGGGCACCUCGCAAGGCCUAGGAGCUCACCACUAUGUCCAUGGGACAGCUGCUGAGCACAAGGUCCACAGUGUCCGAUUCAUGGAGUUCUCGGAAGUGGAGAACCAGGACGACUACUACAGCAUGGAGGCUGCGUCCGUCUACACACAGGACCCGCACGGGGUACAUAUCAUGUACGAUGAAGCCUUGAGCGAUCUGAAGGAGCUCGAGGAAGAGCUGCUGCUUGUGGCCAGCCAUUACAUCGAGAAAGAAAAAGGUCACGAAGAGGGCAGCGAGUCAAAUACUGGCCAGGACUGGGGACGGGCCCAUGCAAGUGUGGACAGAUUUGCUGUGCUGUAUGACAUGUGGACUUGGGAAGCAGCCCUUCUAGAAAACAAGCGCCAGCUUCUUGACAGUUACUUCGAAGCCUACCAGCAUGUGUUGGACCCUGAGGAGAGGUUUGCCUUAGCACAAGUGAUCACUGACCUAAUGCACAGACGCCCGAGGUUUGAUCUCAGCCGCCCUUAUUUCCUUAAGGCCUACCGAGAUGAGGGCACCUGCCUGAGGCUUCACUUGGAGCUAGUGAGGGGCAUCCUCAAUCAGCACGUAAGUACUUUUGGGUUUUAAAAUAUCACAUAUGGGAAGAUGAUGGAAAACCCAGGCCAGAACCCAAAAGUGUUUUCCUUUCAUCGCGUGUUCAGAAUCCAGGUUUUCUAAGGCAGCGCGUGCGGCGUGUUUAUUUGAAAGCUCAUUUGCAUUGUUGAAUUCCAAGCAUA
rnacentral:lncRNA from 1 species